AUACGGAGGGUUCGAGCGUUAUCCGGAAUCAUUGGGUUUAAAGGGUCCGUAGGCGGGAAUCUAAGUCAGUGGUGAAAUCUUGCAGCUCAACUGUAAAAUUGCCAUUGAUACUGGAUUUCUUGAAUUAGUGUGAAGUGGUUAGAAUGUGUAGUGUAGCGGUGAAAUGCAUAGAUAUUACACAGAAUACCAAUUGCGAAGGCAGAUCACUAACACUAUAUUGACGCUGAGGGACGAAAGCGUGGGGAGCGAACAGGAUUAGAAACCCCAGUAGUCC
rnacentral:rRNA from 1 species